rnacentral:tRNA from 1 species
GGGAGCGUAGCUCAGCAGGGAGAGCACCUGCCUUACAAGCAGGGGGUCAUCGGUUCGAGCCCGGUCGCUCCCACCA